rnacentral:snRNA from 1 species
AGCUUUGCUCAGUGGCAGUAUUAGAACCAGUGAGGUUUAUCUGAGGCAUAAUUAUUGUUGACUGAAAACUUUUCCCAAUGACA